UUAUAACUCAUAUCAAAACAAAUUUCGAGCUAAAUAUCGAGAUGAUUCUUCCAUCCUUCCCUCCCCAUCUUCCCGCUCCCCUUUUCAUCCAAAAUUCGCACAAACUCGCCUAAAAUGUCUCCAAAUCCACUCUCAUCCAAUAUUUUCUAAAACCUUGUUCCUCUAUCAAAUCACCAACCCUCCCUUUAUCCUCUAUUCCCAGACACUAAUAACUUGACGGUUCCCAAAAGACACAUCACGAUAUUCACGUGCCAUCGAGUGCAAGUCUCUUGCGAAAUAAAAACGAAAAAGCAAAAGUGUAAAAAGAGAAGAGAAAGAAAUAUCAGAGUCGAUGUAUGUUCGAGAGAGCCGGAUCGCCGGAAGAGGAGUGAAAACGUAGAGUAAGGGGGCGGGGGUGGUUGUCCACGAGGAACGGGGGUCGAUUCGGCACGGACGUGUUCCGAUCGAAAAGUCAGGGUGGUCGGUCAGGUGAACGAUAUCCGUGUAUAUAGUUAUAUUGCAGGAACCCUAGGAAACGAGCUUACUGGUGCAUUCCGGGUUCAGCUCUCCGGCGAAGGCUCCUCGCGCGCGUGCAGGAGCACCCGCGCGUUCGUUCGUCUGACGCUUAAUACCAGUUUCACGGCUUGAUAAGCCGAAGCGUGUAAUUUUGCAGCGGCUCCGGAGUCGGAUAAGCACCAGGUUUUCUAGUUAAGUGGACCACAAAAUUCGGGGAAGCCUAUAUAAGGCUUUUCGAGGUAGAAGGCGAUCAGUCGAGCCACAGAGCUCUCCGGCACACCAUCCGCGAUCGAAUUGUUCCUCGUUUCUCUGUAGUUUCUCUAUCGUUUCUUCGGCUCCAUUCAGUUUCCGGUCAUUCCUUCUUUUUUCAUCCUUGUGCGAUUUGUAUUUGGCCCUUUCCAGUCGAAAACCUGACUCUCAAAACCCAGUCAGACAACCAAUUAGCAAAGAGAGGAUCCUAACCUUACAGAGGGCUGAAAGCUCGCUUACAACUCGGUUCGAGCUCCAAAAACGGAAAAUCGCGAGCGAGACGGUGAAAGAUAAAAACGAAGACGCUUGGUCGACGGCAAAAGGAAUGCCGAGGAGAGGCACCGAAGAGAGGAGAGACGGAACAGACGGCGAGAGAGCAACCUCGCCAUACACUCGUCUAAAGAAGAAGGGCAAAACGAGAGGAGCAUCAUAUGGAAAAGAGGGAGGACGGGUUAAGGAGGUAGCGCGGGAAGAAGGUUCGUACAGCCGAAUCGAGGAUGUAGACAGGAAGGAUGUCUGUCGAGUGCCAUCGACUUAACUCGUGGUAUGGCACAGCGAGCACGAGCCCAUCCUCUUCGGUGCUCUGAAGAGAGCCAAGCCGGCAUAAUAAGCUUUGUGCGCCGACUGUCGACGUCGGAUUUCCACUCACGAAGGGCUGAAGAGGCCAGCCGGAAGCGGCUGCAUCGGCAGCAGUAGCGACAACGCCGAGGAGCACCGGCAACAGAAACCUUUGCCUGCGCGAGAGUUUGCCCAUACGCGAGAACAUCCGAAGAAUCGAGCAUCUGCUUAUGAAACCAGUCCACCUCUCACGGCGAAUGCUCCCGCCCUACGUAGGUAUGUACAUGUUCCGCUGAAAAAUCUAGAAUGUUAAUUACCAGCCUACAUUCUGCUCCGACGAUCUUUACGUUCAGUAAGAUUUACUCCUCUUAGCUAGUGGAGAUCGUGUACUGUUCCUGUCAGUCCUUUGCCUGGCCCACUUUCUCCCUCUUGGAAACACCAUCCCUUGAAAGUGGAAAUUGUUCUUCUCUCUUCCGGGAUCUUGAAUCAAGUUUGGAAACUCGAUAGGUUCGAUUUAGGACAGCGAGGACUUGGAUCGAGGUCUGAUUGAUUCUCGGGGUAGAAUGGUUUGCUUUAUGCGAGAAUGGGGUUAAAGGAUUGGUGUAAUCGGGGUAGGCAAUGAUUUCUGAAUCGACGAGAGAGAAGCAGAAGAUCAUAUAUGUUAUAUAUUAUAACUAGUGAAUUUUACUUUGGAUAUUUUGUAUACUUUUGUAUAUUAUCCAAUAUAAAUUUCUCAUUAAUGCGUAAAUAGCUGCAGUCUGAUCGGACGUGAAUCUAAUCUAAUCUCAUCUAAUCCUAUUAAUACAACACAAAACCUAUGAGUGUCAUAAUUAAAUUUCUAACUUUAAUAAAAUCCUUUGAUUACUCAAGAAUUUCACGUACGAAAUUUUACUUGAUUUUACAUCAGAAGAAAAAACAUCUUAUCGUGUUAGCGAUAAAAUAGUAGUAAUCUCGUGGCACAAAUAAAACUACGUACGCCGACUUUGGCCGUGAAUAUGUGUCUACGGCACGUUAGGGUUGUAAGUGGGUUAAAGGUACUGGUUGUUUAGAGGGUAAAGUGCAUAGUUUGCCAGCGCUCGGAAACAACGGAGAGUGGAUCGCCUAACGAAGUGUGUUUGCCGCCGGAGACCACGGGAACGAAAUAUAGUGGGGAUGAUCCGGGCUAAAGAAAACACAAUCCACACGAAAUCGUUAACAGUUCGUCCGUUCUUCUUCUCUCUCUUGUUCGUUCGAUUUUGAAACUCACCCUCCACGAUGAUUAAGAGCAAUAGCGUUGUACAGAUCGCGGCUGGAGUACGAAAAAGGUUGUCGACUAACCCUUCACGAUUGCGCUCCCUUUUUGUUAGAAAAAGGAUUUUCUAGAGGCUGUUUUUUUAUUUCUGAUUGGUUUCUCAAAAUAUUUGGUUAUAUCUUAUUUAUGAUUAGUGUGAAUGUUUAUGCAUUCCUGAGAAAUUACUUACUUCUAUGACGUUUUACAAAUAAUAUUGAAUUUCAAUAUGAUCCAAUUCUCCGUUAGUCGAUAAAUUUCGUAAGAAAGUAUCUCUAAGUUACGCAAUCAACAACCUCGUCAAAUCUCAUCAUCCUAAUCCAAACUUUCCCUUAAACCUCUCCACGAUCUCAAAAAUCCACCAAUCUAUUCUCAGCACGAUACUUCCAGCGACAUCCAUGAGACAAUUCAAGAAAGUCCUAAGUCGAUCCAGGGGAAAAAGCCAGCGAGCCUUAGUUGAAAGCUAGUGCGAGAUCUCGUAGACAGCGCGCGCUUUUCUACGAUCCGGGUUAACCAGGAAAGCAGCAGGGCCGACCGCUAAUCCGACGUGCAACGAUUAAAGCUGCGUUGGUGGUAUCGCUGUCGGUGAUUUUCACGGAGCCCAAUGCUCGGACACGAUAUCAUUUCCAUCCCCCUCCGCCCACCCCUCACCUCUUGUACCCUUCUUUCUCGUAUCUCUUUGACUCGGUUCGACAAAGCGGAGCCCGUGGAUAUCCCGCCUCAGGGGCUCGUUGUUGCAAGGACAGAGUCGGAUAGAUCCGCAAGAAGGGUGAAAGAGACGAAGCAAAGGGUGGAACGAAGAAGAAAGAGGAAGACGAGGAACAGAUAGAGGAGUAGAGACGGUGAAACGUUAUAGAGAGGGAAGGCACUCGUUGAUUUCCCGUUUUCAUAUUCAAUAUGAUCUGCCCCGGCAUUGUAUUCAUUGAAAACGAGUCAACCGCACGCAAGAUCAGGAGCCGGGCGCCAGAAACGAGAGUGGAUCAUGGAAGCCUGGCCUCGUCGGUGAUGAUGGCAGAGCUGGUAGUGGUGGGUAGGUCGUUGCGGUGGUUGGAUGGAUGGUUAGUUGGUAGGUAGGUUGGUUGGUUGGCUGACUGGCUGGUUUCCUACUCCAACUAAUGAAAGGAGACUCCGCGCCAGGGUCUGGAGGUUGCCUGUCUGCCUGAGGUUUAAAGUCGAUGUGUCCUCUUCACCCGUGAAUCACGACGGGGAGCGGUAACGUUCUAAGAGGGGAUGGAUGCUGGAGAUGCUUCUCGAUCAUUCUAACCGGGUAGGAGGGAGGAGGUAUCUUUUAAGGCGACCUGCACUCGUUCAGAUGCGAAUCCAUCGGUUCGCGCGAAUUGAGACGUCCGGCUCAGACGUGGACAACUUUCGUGACUAACCAAACGUUGCAACUUAUUUUUGGAAAAUCCUUGCUUCUGCUGUACUUAAGUUUGCUUCGCUUUUGAAGGAUAUUCGCAGCGUUCUGCUUUGAUAACUGACGUGUUUAAAUGGUAAAACUGGUCGUAUAGUUGGUAAUGGAGUGUUAUAUACAGAGUGAGUCAUGUAAGAGUGAAAUCUGAUAUAUUUUCGAAACUGUUCGUAUCUUUUUAAAAUGUUUCUUCUUUAAUGACAUAUAGGUAGUAUUCUAUCUUACAAAAUGAUAGAAGUUAAUGAGUCAUUUUUUGUGCAAUUUCAUUUGUGAAGUUAUCUUUUAAACAAAAUAAUCUACGUUGGAAUCGUUUAAUUUCGUAUAGUAUUUCUGAAUACACUUACCGAUAUAGAUAAUAUUUUUAACAAUAUUUCAGGUUCUAGUUUUACGACUCACCGUGUAUAUUUGUAUGACGAGUUGAGACUGAUCUUGUAUAUGUAUGUUUGAAUGAGUUCUACUUUUGAGUUUGCCUCUUUGAGAUGAUGAAGAAAAUUGGAUAUUUAGAAGUUAAAACGGAUGUCUUUUAGUAAUUAAUUUAGGAAAUAUAGAAGUUAAUUUGUGAAGAUUUACUAAAGCUUAUGGAAUUAUGUUCGUGGAAUGCUCGUUAUUAAAAGAGAAAUGUAUAUAUCAGAUCGAACAAAUGUUUGUAACGUUGAAUGAAUAAUGAUUCAACAUGGAGAUUUUUAUAUGUGGAAAAUUAGUGGGUCCAUCGCCGAGUGUGCCGAAUAGCGAAUCGUAACGUGGAAGCUCAAAGCGCAGAAAUCCACCUCAGCAAUAUUCAAAUUAACGAUCCGCCAACGUUUUCGUUCGGUAGACUAUUUGGCCUACAAAAACCAGGAUCGCUAUUUAUUCCCUAAUGUAUUGGAUAUCCUGUAUAUCUUGCUAUAAUAUAAAAAAAAUGAGUUACCAACCAAA